UACAGAGGGUGCAAACGUUGCUCGGAAUUAUUGGGCGUAAAGCGCGUGUAGGCGGUUUGUUAAGUCGGUUGUGAAAUCCCAUGGCUCAACCAUGGAAGUGCUGCCGAAACUGGCGAACUAGAGUCCCGACGAGGAUGGCGGAAUUCCCAGUGUAGAGGUGAAAUUCGUAGAUAUUGGGAGGAACACCGGUGGCGAAGGCGGCCAUCUGGGAGGGUACUGACGCUCAGACGCGAAAGCGUGGGUAGCAAACAGGG
rnacentral:rRNA from 1 species